rnacentral:lncRNA from 12 species
GGGUCGAUUUGGGGUGAAUUCGGGGUGAAUUUUGACUGGGUUGGAGAUGUAUUUUGGGUAGAUUUUUGGGCGGAUUUUGGGUGGAUUCGGGAUGUGUUUUGGCUGGAUUCAGGAUGGAUUUUGGGUGUAUUUGGGGUGUAUUUUGGGAUGCAUUUUGGGUGUAUUUCGGGUGUAUUUUUGGGGUGAGUUCAGGAUGCAUUUGGGCGGUAUUUCGGGUGUAUUUUAGGGUUGAAUUCAGGAUGUUUUUGGGGUGAAUUCAGGAUGCGUUUUGGGUGUAUUUUGGCUGUAUUUUGGGAUGUGUUUUGCCUGGAUUCACGAUGUAUUUUGGGUGCAUUUUGGCUGCGUUUAGGGUGUAUUUGGGUGUAUUUGGGUGCAUUUUGCCUGUAUUUCGGGUGUAUUUUGUGUGUAUUUUGUGUGUAUUUUGUGUGUAUUUUGGGUGUAUUUUGGGUGUAUUUUGGGUGUAUUUUGGGUGUAUUUGGCUGUGUUUUGCCUGUAUUUUGGCUGGAUUUUGUGUGGAUUUUGGGUGUAUUUCGGGUGUAUUUUGGCUGUGUUUAGGGUGUAUUUUGGGUGUAUUUGGGUGCAUUUCGCGUGUAUUUCGGAUGCGUUUUGGCUGGAUUCAGGAUGGAUUUUGGGAUGUAUUUUGGCUGGAUUUUGGGUGUGUUUGGGGUGUAUUUGUGGUGUAUUUGGGUGCAUUUCGGGUGUGUUUUGGCUGUAUUUUGUGUGUAUUUGGGUGUAUUUCGGGUGUAUUUUGUGUGUAUUUGGCUGUAUUUCAGCUGUAUUUUGGCUGUAUUUGGCUGUAUUUUGUGUGUAUUUUGGGUGCAUUUUGCCUGUAUUUUGGCUGCAUUUUGG